rnacentral:rRNA from 1 species
GAUGAACGCUGGCGGCGUGCCUAAUACAUGCAAGUCGAGCGGACAGACGAUGCUCUUGCUCCGCUGUCGUUAGCGGCGGACGUGUGAAUAACACGUGUAUAACCUACCUAUAAUACUGAUAUCACUAGGAAAAUGCGGAUCUUAUCCCGUAUGAUAUAUUGAACCUCGUUGGUCGUUGGAGAAUUUCGGUUUUUCUGGCUCUUCUCGAUGCUUCUGCGCCGCAUUAGGUAGUUGUUACGUUAACGGCUUAGCAAGGCUACGAUGCGUAGCCGACCUGAGAGGGUGAUCGGCCACAUGGGAACUGAGACAGGGACAAGACUACUAAGGGAGGACGCAGUCGGGAAUGUUAGGCAAUGGGCGAAAGCAUGACGCAGCAACGCGGAGUGAGUGAUGAAGGUCUUGGGAGCGGAAAGACCUGUUACUAGGGAAGAACAACUGUGUAAUGAAACGAAGCCGUAUUGACGGUAACUAGUAAGAAAGCAACGGCUAACUACGUG